CCGCAGUUGAGCAGACUGGAAACCAUGGAGCGCAACAAGACGCGUUGGAGAGACUCACCAAGCGGACGGGAAAAGUGCCAGUUUGUGAUCUGUUUGUAAGUAACUUUCAGCGACAGUGGGCAUAUUUUUGUUCACCAGCAGGUGGACAUUUAGUGUUCGCUAGCGUGCGUAAACGGACUGGAGAGGAAAUAAAACAGUCUUGGAGUGAACAGCAGCUACCAAAGAACGAGAGGAAAGGAGGAGUUGAAAAGAGCCGGAGGAGAGACAAGUGCCCGUUGGAUAGAAAUGCUCACUGUGUUGUUUUUUUGAAUACUUUUUGACGUUGUUUUUGUGGAAAUGUCGCUGGUGUGCGCAGCGUAAUACCUCCGAACAGCUUUCAUGCCUCGUGCCAUCAGAAGGGACAGUUACUUAUCUGCAAGGAAACUGUGAGCAGAACUGAGAUUUCAUAAAGAAGAAGGCACUGGGCUUAAACUGAGGACCAGUCACUGAACAGUUACGAACCAUGGUGAAGUUUCAUAACUCGGACCUAUGGAUAGCCUGGAUGAUCAUUUUCUGCAUGGAGGGUUCAAGGUUUGAUCUACACACAGGGAAAGGCUCUCAAUCUCCAUCACCUUUUCUUCUCCUUCCUCUUCUCAAUCUCAAUAUGACUGCUCCUUCUGUCUAAUGGGUCUUGAUCCAUGAUCUCUUCCCCUUCCUCCUUUGUAUAUUUGUUUUUCGUCUGUACUUGUUUAAAUCUCUGGAUGAGCCUCUACACUCUCAGUGUUUGUCUCUUGAUCCAUUUCACUCCCACACCAACCACUCUCCACAAGCUGUCAAAUCCUAAUCUGGGCAUCAUGAGAACAGACUAUACCCUCUAGUUUCUAAUGAAACUCCUAAAAAUCCACUCUGCUAGGAACAGAGUUUAAAGUUGAAAUGCGUCUCUGUUGCUUAAUCACUAUAACUAGUAAAAUACUAAAUUGUUUUAUGUCAUUCAAAUUAAAGGAAUGCCUUAGCUAUUGUGAAACGGCUAUUGUGUAAGCAAAUACAUGUAGCGAUGCCCAAAUAAAGCAAUCAGCUGCUCAACAUUAAAACG